rnacentral:tRNA from 1 species
GGGCGGUUAGCUCAGUUGGGAGAGCGCAGCAAUGGCAUUGCUGAGGUCGUCGGUUCGAUCCCGAUACCGUCCACCA